rnacentral:tRNA from 1 species
CGGAAAGUAGCUUAGCUUGGUAAAGCGCUAGCUUCGGGAGCUAGAGACCGUGGGUUCAAAUCCCAUCUUUCCGACCA